AAAAACAUAACACAUCCUAUGUUAUUACAAGCAUUCACAUUCAAACAUUUUACAUUUUUCAUUACAUACAACCUCCGAAUGCAAUUAAGUUAUUACAAUUAAUAUUACAGGUUUGAUACAUUGUUUUCUUUUCAUUUCCCUCUACCCCUAGGCUAUGCCGACUCGGGGUACCGCUAUUUCUGAUCUCUGGGGUAGGGCGCUAUCUAUGGAGCUACGCCCUUGCCUCGCGCCGCCGCGCCGCUCACGUGCGAACCUGUAACACCCCAAAACAACGUGGGGUGAGAACCAACUCCAUGGUUCCCAGUGGGUACGGCCACCCAAGGGAGGAGCUCGACCAAUAGGUCCAAGGAGGCAACUGCAGGUUAGUUUAAUAAACAGAUAGAUAGAUAUUUGACUAUGCAAUUAAUAAAACCAUACCUUGCCUCGCAAAUGCAAUAUGAACAUUAUGCAACUAUGCAACUGCAUAAACAACUAGUAGAUAUGUUAAUUCUACAUUUACUUUGCUACUUUAGGUCAUUUCAUUCAAUUGUAAGGUUUCCAUUACCUUAUGUUCUCAACUCAAGUUCAACUUGCUUCUAAGGUCUCUAUUACCUCAGGUUCUUGCCUCGAUCACUAGCUUAUAAGGUUCCCAUUAACCUAAUCAAGCUAACCACCCGACUCGGCCUCGAGUCAAUCAUCCGCGGAUAGUCCGCGCACUGGCUGCACCUCAGCCUGGCUGCCGUCGCAGCCUACCGCAGAUCUGACUUAACCAUCUGGCGGCGAACUCAUCGCUCUCACCCAACAACAACUCAAGUCAUGACUUAGCCAUCUGGCGGCGAACUCAUCGCACCUCACCCAACAAUGGUUCAAGUCAUAACUUAGUCAUCUGGCAGCGACCACAUCGCUCUCACCCAACAAUGGUUCAAGUCAACCUAGGCGGCAUCAUCCGAUAAGCUAAUGGGCGAGGAGAACCACACAUACCCAAUUCCAGCUUAUUCUCAUGGCAUCCCGGGCGAGGAGAACCACACAUACCCGUUGAAUCACUGCCAGGCGAGGAGAACCACACAUACCUGCAGUUAUGAUUCGCUUGCCAUCUCUUUUACCACAAUUUCCACCGCUCCAUGUGCGGCCACAUCACUAGGGAUUCCGGAAUCCAUUUCAUAACUCAAGGGUUGGUUUCAAACCCUAUAGCAUUGACCUAUCUAGGUCCAACGUCCUUUUCACCCUAGGUCCAACUGACUCUAGGUUCAACGUCUCUAUCACAUAACCUAGGUUUACUUAACUCUAGGUUCAAUCCAUAACCUAUGUCCUUUAACACUAGGUUAGAUGCCACUCAUGAUUCAUCCUAGGUUCAACAACACUAGGUUCAUUGUCAUUCAUGUCCAACCUAUGUUUUAUACACUAGGUUAGAUGCCACUCGAUCUAGUUCACAUGACUCUAGAUUCAUUCACAACCUAUGUUCUUUAACACUAGGUUAGGUGCCACUCGAUCUAUUUGACAUCCUAUUGUCAUCUCGAGUCUACAUGUACACGAAUCUUAUCCAACAUGCUCAUUAUACACAUAUGUAUUAAUAUGCAUUCACUUACUAGCAUGGUUUCUUAUCAUAUUAACAUGCACAUUACAUUUAGCAUUUCUAGACUAUGUCAUCAACAUGCAUUUCAUUCUAUGCAUUAUAUUUACAUGCAUCCUUCUAGUUUACAUGCAUAUAUAUAAUCUUUUAUAUGCAUCUACUUUAGCAUUUACAUCAUAUCAUGCAUUACUAGCAUUACAUUAUUAUCAUGCAUUACUAGCAUUAUGUAACUUGCUCACUAUGCAUUUCUACUUAGCAUUCACAUUAACAUGCAUUGUUUAACACUUAUAUGCAUCAACACGAAUUCUUAAUAUUCUUAGACAUAAGGGCGACCUAGUCGCUUCGGUAAGCACAACCCACCUUAACUUACUCUCCGAUUGCUUGUAGUCACUUGCAAUCGGCCGCCCGCGACACCCGCGACCCGGUUUGGCUCGAACUCUCGCGCGACCACCCAAACGAUCUCCGAUUUGCGAUCCGGAAAUUAAAGGUCUUCGGUUAUGUGCCACGGUGCUUCAAAUCCGUUUUCAUGAUUUUACGACAUCGCCUCGGCCCUCCAGGCGGAAACGAAGCCUAAACGUCCGUUUCUUUAAUAACUUUGUAACGGCUCGUCGGAUUGCCGAUCCGUCUUCGCCAACGCGUUUCGUUACCUAGCAAUUAGGUUUAUAUAUGUUCAAUUUAGAUCAAACCCAUCUAUUAGCAAAAAUUGUAUUUUGGAGCCCUAGGUUGCAACUAUGCAAGAAAUCAUCAAAUCCCUUCACGAAUUAAGCAUCAAUCAUCUAGAUAGCAUGCUAGGAUUCCUCUAAAUCCAUUUCUAAGCUAUUUAAACCAACCAUUAAGGAUCUACCAUUAAAGGGUAGCAAAAGCUUACCUCAAAAUUAGCUCCAAAUCAUGGAGAAGAUGAAGAAGACGAAGGCGAUCCACCUCCAAGCUUCAAUCUCCACCAAAUCCAUCCAUUUUGGGAGAGAUUUAGAGAGAGAAAUGGAAGUUCUCUCUCUCCCUUCCAUGCAUGCGUGUGUGUGUGUGUGUCGCAUGCGGUUUGGGGCUGCUGCGGCUGAGGAAGGAGAAGAAGAAAAGGGAUUAAAUCCCUUUUUACCAUUUUGCCCCUCAACUAUACACUAUUCACUACGGGCAGCUUGAAAUCUGAUAAAUUUCGUUGGAGCCCUUCCGGAUGUCCGUUUUCGCUCAAAUUUGACAGGCAUGUUCGGUUUCACUUAAUAAGUCCAAAGAAAUUUUAAUAUUUCAGUUUCGACCCCGUUUGGUCACUGAAAACUGUACCGAACUGCAAUCUUUAUCAGAUAGCUUUCGGAUUCGAUUUCUCUCUCUACGGGUGUCAGAAAAAUAUGAAACUUUAAAUCUAGCCUCAUAAAAAUAUUUCUGACAUCUCCGCCAAUUUUCAUAAUUUUCUGACACUGUGCAUUUUCUGCUAAUUUAUCUGCCCCGUUUCUUACAGAAAAUUCUAAAUCUUCUGUUUUCGCUCUGAUUUCAGCACAGGUCAUUCCCAACUUAUAUUUCAGUUCUCUAAAUCCAAUAAAAAUAGUAUCUCAUACUAUUUUUAUUUAUUUUCACUUUUAUAUUAAAAAUCCGGUAUGUUACGUUCCACCGCAACUUCACCGGAACCAUUUAAAUAUACACCGUAACUUCAUAGUUUUAGAAGUCUGGUACCUUACAAUAUAUAUGUCUGUAGAUAUUUUUGGACUAACAUGAUUGCAGUGCCUCCUUGGACCUAUUGGUCGAGCUUUUCCCUUGGGUGGCCGUACUCACCGGGAACCAUAGAGUUGGUUCUCACCUCACGUUGUUUUGGGGUGUUACAGGUUCGCAUGUGAGCGGCGCGGCGGCGCGAGGCAAGGGCGUAGCUCCGUAGUUAGCACCCUACCACCGAGACCAGAUAGCAGUAUCCCGAGUCGGCUACUUAGGGGUAUAAAAAUGAAAAGAACCAAGAAUGUAAUAAUUGUAAGAACUUGAUUGUAUUUGGAUGUAUGAAUCAAAGAAUGUAUAAUAUGAUGUAAAAUAUAAUAUGUGAGAUGAAUGCUUGUAAUAGCAAGUAGAUUUAUAUUUUUGAUACUUUCUUAUGCAAUCUUUGGUUGAAAUGUGUUCCUGGUUGGAACUUCAUACAUUGUAUUGAUUGCGACGCCUUGAAC
rnacentral:lncRNA from 1 species